UUCAUACUUAAAAAAAUUAUUUUCAAAAAUUAAAGUACUUAUUUCUAUGAUUUAUUCAUUGUGGAUUUGCUGGUAAAUAGUAGUAAAAUUUAAAUUACUCUUGAUCAAAAUGCAUGUUCACACACAUCAGGUCUAGUGUGCUGUGUACUAAUAAAGGUCCUAUAACUGAAAGUUUCCAAUUAAAAAAGAUAGAAUUUUAAUUUUUUUAAAGUCUCAGUAUUGACUGUUGCUCCAAAACUAUUAUCACUGUGAUAAUGGGUAUUAAAAACAUGCUGGUGUUAAAACUGAAAGUUUUUUAGUUUGUGAAGAAAAA
rnacentral:lncRNA from 1 species